UACGAAGGGGGCUAGCGUUGUUCGGAAUCACUGGGCGUAAAGCGCACGCAGGCGGGGCGUUAAGUCAGGGGUGAAAUCCCGAGGCUCAACCUCGGAACUGCCUUUGAUACUGGCGAUCUUUGAGUCCGGGAGAGGUGAGUGGAACUCCGAGUGUAGAGGUGAAAUUCGUAGAUAUUCGGAAGAACACCAGUGGCGAAGGCGGCUCACUGGCCCGGUACUGACGCUCAUGUGCGAAAGCGUGGGGAGCAAACAGG
rnacentral:rRNA from 1 species